AUUGAACGCUGGCGGCAGGCCUAACACAUGCAAGUCGAACGAGUGGCGGACGGGUGAGCAAUGUCUGGGAAACUGCCCGAUGGAGGGGGAUUACUACUGGGAACGGUAGCUAAUAACGCAUACCAUCGGAUGUGCCCAGAUGGGAUUAGCUAGUAGGCGGGGUAACGGCGCACCUAGGCGACGAUCCCUAGCUGGCCUGAGAGUAUGACCAGCCACACUGGGACUGAGACACGGUCCAGACUCCUACGGGAGGCAGCAGUGGGGAAUCUUGCACAAUGGGCGCAAGCCUGAUGCAGCCAUGCCGCGUGUAUGAAGAAGGCCUUCGGGUUGUAAAGUACUUUCAGCGGGGAGGCGUUACUCGCAGAGGAAGCACCGGCUAACUCCGUGCCAGCAGCCGCGGUAAUUC
rnacentral:rRNA from 1 species